GUGGCAACUCAAUUAUCAGUGUUUGACAGUGAUGAAGACGAAAAAAGAGUAUAAGUGGUUGCAGAUGACAAACUGUCGGUCAUUGUAGAAACACAAGACGUCAGAAAAACCACACCAUGUGGUAAAAAGAUGGAAAAUAAAAGCCCACUGAGGAUGCUGCAACUGCAGUGAAACAUGUCUGGGUUAAAAAACAAAACUGUGUUUUGCUAAAGGCGGACCCUACCCAAAAACAUAUAUAUUGUUAAAGCAAACACGGAAAAAAAGAGCUUCAAUACCAAGAUGAUUAUUUCGAUGCCUUGCCAGGCAUUUCCG